UGAGUCAUUAAAAAAUUAACAUCAUCCGAUCCCUAGUCGGCAUAGUUUAUGGUUAAGACUACGACGGUAUCUGAUCGUCUUCGAUCCCCUAACUUUCGGUCUUGAUAAAUGAAAACAUUCUUGGCAAAUGCUUUCGCAGUAGUUAGUCUUCAAUAAAUCCAAGAAUUUCACCUCUGACAAUUGAAUACUA
rnacentral:rRNA from 1 species